rnacentral:lncRNA from 1 species
CUUUUACAUAUAUUUUUAUUUAUUUAUGCGGCAUUAGACGGGUAGUUGUCUCUCUUUCGUCAUUGUUUUGAUAGCGUGUGUGUAACUGAAGCGUUCCGUUUAUCUGCACAACUGUACAUCGAUUAUAAAUCUGUCGCAGCCGGUCAGUCACGAUGAUGACAGUGACUGUGACCAUCUGAAACUAAUGAAUGAACUGAAAACAUCUGACCUGUUAUAGCAGAAACUGGCCGAUUUACUGCAGCCACCGUCAGUGUGUGGAUGCUGGACGUACUUGAACAUCGAUUAAAGGUACAUUGUUUAAUGUGACGAUAUUUAGGUUACAGUGCUCGUUAGCGAAACAACGCUUUGAAUGCAUGUGCUGCUAGAGGACAAAUCACAUACAAUACAGUAAAAAACUACACACUCCCCAUCGACAUGGAUUACAUAAACACUGCCAGAUCUGUCGAAGAUCGUCUUCUGAGCUAUAGAAAAGACGAGUCAGGGUGGAAAACAUGCAAGAAAACUAAUGAUGUUGUGGUGUAUUGGAGACCCUCUUGUGAAUUCGCGGGAAAUGUGUAAGUAUACAUUUGUUUAAUGACUCGGAUCACCGUGACGUCAUAUGUGCCGACUUCUCGUCGUCUUAGUGUAUACUGUAGAGUGGACUCUAGUUAGUGUAAAUCCGGUUACAUAUUAGCCUAUCAUGC